rnacentral:rRNA from 1 species
AGCGGCGGAUGGGUGAGUAACACGUGGGGAACCUGCCCCUAAGUCUGGGAUACCAUUUGGAAACAGGUGCUAAUACCGGAUAAUAAAGCAGAUCGCAUGAUCAGCUUUUGAAAGGCGGCGUAAGCUGUCGCUAAGGGAUGGCCCCGCGGUGCAUUAGCUAGUUGGUAAGGUAACGGCGCACCAAGGCGACGAUGCAUAGCCGAGUUGAGAGACUGAUCGGCCACAUUGGGACUGAGACACGGCCCAAACUCCUACGGGAGGCAGCAGUAGGGAAUCUUCCACAAUGGACGCAAGUCUGAUGGAGCAACGCCGCGUGAGUGAAGAAGGUUUCGGAUCGUAAAGCUCUGUCGUUGGUGAAGAAGGAUAGAGGUAGUAACUGGCCUUUAUUUGACGGUAAUCAACCAGAAAGUCACGGCUAACUACGUGCCAGCAGCCGCGGUAAUACGUAGGUGGCAAGCGUUGUCCGGAUUUAUUGGGCGUAAAGCGAGCGCAGGCGGAAAAAUAAGUCUAAUGUGAAAGCCCUCGGCUUAACCGAGGAACUGCAUCGGAAACUGUUUUUCUUGAGUGCAGAAGAGGAGAGUGGAACUCCAUGUGUAGCGGUGGAAUGCGUAGAUAUAUGGAAGAACACCAGUGGCGAAGGCGGCUCUCUGGUCUGCAACUGACGCUGAGGCUCGAAAGCAUGGGUAGCGAACAGGAUUAGAUACCCUGGUAGUCCAUGCCGUAAACGAUGAGUGCUAAGUGU